rnacentral:rRNA from 1 species
UACGUAGGGUGCAAGCGUUAAUCGGAAUUACUGGGCGUAAAGCGUGCGCAGGCGGUUGUGUAAGACAGAUGUGAAAUCCCCGGGCUUAACCUGGGAAUGGCAUUUGGGACUGCAAGGCUGGAGUGUGGCAGAGGAGACUGGAAUUCCUGGUGUAGCAGUGAAAUGCGUAGAUAUCAGGAGGAAUACCGAUGGCGAAGGCAGGUCUCUGGGCUGACACUGACGCUCAUGCACGAAAGCGUGGGGAGCAAACAGG